rnacentral:rRNA from 1 species
AGCAAACGCUGGCGGCGUGCCUAAUACAUGCAAGUCGAACGGGGAAAGUAGCAAUAUGAGUACUAGUGGCGCACGGGUGAGGAGCGCGUGGGUAAUCUGCCUUCGAGCGGGGGAUAACUAGUCGAAAGAUUAGCUAAUACCGCAUAAGACCACAAGAUCUGCGGAUCUAGGGGUCAAAGCAGCAAUGCACUUGAAGAUGAGCCCGCGUAAGAUUAGCUAAUUGGUGAGGUAACGGCUCACCAAGGCGAUGAUCUUUAGCUGGUCUGAGAGGAUGAUCAGCCACACUGGAACUGAGACACGGUCCAGACUCCUACGGGAGGCAGCAGUAGGGAAUAUUGCGCAAUGGGGGCAACCCUGACGCAGCGACGCCGCGUGAGUGAUGAGGGCCUUCGGGUCGUAAAGCUCUGUUAUAUGGGAAUAAGUUCUGAAUGUACCAUGUGAGAAAGGAUCGGCUAACUUCGUGCCAGCCGCCGCCGUAA